UACGAAGGGGGCUAGCGUUGUUCGGAUUUACUGGGCGUAAAGCGCACGUAGGCGGAUCGUUAAGUUGGGGGUGAAAUCCUGGAGCUCAACUCCAGAACUGCCUUCAAUACUGGCGAUCUAGAGUCCGGAAGAGGUGAGUGGAACUCCUAGUGUAGAGGUGGAAUUCGUAGAUAUUAGGAAGAACACCAGUGGCGAAGGCGGCUCUCUGGUCCGGUACUGACGCUGAGGUGCGAAAGCGUGGGGAGCAAACAGG
rnacentral:rRNA from 1 species